rnacentral:rRNA from 1 species
UACGUAGGGUGCAAGCGUUGUCCGGAAUUAUUGGGCGUAAAGAGCUCGUAGGCGGUUUGUCGCGUCUGCUGUGAAAACUCGGGGCUUAACUCCGGGCCUGCAGUGGGUACGGGCAGACUAGGGUGCGGUAGGGGAGACUGGAAUUCCUGGUGUAGCGGUGAAAUGCGCAGAUAUCAGGAGGAACACCGGUGGCGAAGGCGGGUCUCUGGGCCGAUACUGACGCUGAGGAGCGAAAGCGUGGGGAGCGAACAGG